CCUACGGGAGGCAGCAGUGGGGAAUAUUGGGCAAUGGAGGAAACUCUGACCCAGCAACGCCGCGUGAAUGAUGAAGGUCUUCGGAUUGUAAAGUUCUUUUCUAAGGGAAGAAGAAAGUGACGGUACCUUAGGAAUAAGCCUCGGCUAACUACGUGCCAGCAGCCGCGGUAAUACGUAGGAGGCAAGCGGUAUCCGGAAUGACUGGGCGUAAAGGGUGCGUAGGUGGUUCAGCAAGUUAGUAGCGUAAUUCCGGAGCUCAACUUCGGCACUACUACUAAAACUGUUGGACGUGAGUGCAGGAGGGGCAACUGGAAUGUCUAGUGUAGCGGUGGAAUGCGUAGAUAUUAGGAAGAACACCGGUGGCGAAGGCGAGUUGCUGGACUGUAACUGACACUGAGGCACGAAAGCGUGGGGAGCAAACAGGAUUAGAUACCCUUGUAGUC
rnacentral:rRNA from 1 species